rnacentral:rRNA from 1 species
CCUUGAUGGACCGGCGCACGGGUGAGUAACGCGAUGCAACCUGCCCGAUACCGGGGUAUAGCCCAUGGAAACGUGGAUUAACACCCAUAGUACUUUUAUCCUGCCUGGGAUGGGAGUUAAAUGUUCAAGGUAUCGGAUGGGCAUGCGUCCUAUUAGUUAGUUGGCGGGGUAACAGCCCACCAAGACGAUGAUAGGUAGGGGUUCUGAGAGGAAGGUCCCCCACAUUGGAACUGAGACACGGUCCAA